UCAGUUAGAAAAAUCAGGAAGAAGUGGGGACAGGGACAAGAGGGCAGGAACACAGGGUUCAAAGAGUUGGAGGGGAGGUGCCUGCUCCCUAUCUCUGAUAGAGGUGUGCACCCUGGGGCCUUCCCUGUCCACAGAGGGUCUAGUUGUGCUAUGUGUGGAUGACAGGCCAAGCCUGCAUUAGGCUAGCCCAGGGGUCCAUGUGCUGUGUGCCUGAUUGGCUACCUCUCUAUCUCCCUAGGCCUUCUCAAACUUCCCAGGUAACUUUAGCUGUCUGGAGGUUAAACCUUGGACACAUGGGUCAUGCAGAGAUGUCACUAAUGUCCCCACUUUAGCACUAGUCCUGGCCUGGCUGCACAUUUUUCUCCUUGGUAAUUGCAGACGCUGCAGGUGACUCUGCCCUCCAUGUCCCUGGUCUACUUACCGUGUCCCUCAUGUGGUCCAGACCUGUUUAUUCUGUGCACCUCCAUUGUGCAGACUCUGUCUCCCAAGUAGCCAGGGAUGUGUGUGGAGGGGACUCUCUUGUGGGGACACAACCACUUGCUCACUAGUGUCCCCCAGACUGUCAGUGCUGCUUCCUAGGCAGCCGUGCCUAUAGACGGACGGUCCCGUUAAGCGGCAUGAUGGCUUCCCGUUUCUGGGGAGGCACACAUGGAGCAAGCCGGGGAGGCUGGGGUGUAGCUCUCCUGCCCACACUGUGGCCCACAGACCCCCCCAGUAUCCCACAGUUAGUUCUCUUGUUCCAUGCUACCCUUGGAGCUUUGCGGUCCUAGGUCCCUUCUGGCUUGGGUUGUGUGCUGUGUGUGUGAUGGGGGAGGCACCAGAGUCAGAAAGGAACAACAGCUAGACAUGGGGAUGGAGACAGAGACACAGAAGGGCAGCUACUGAACCCCCAGCACAUGGGGAGAUGGAGCCGUGCUGCUAUGUGCUGGGUGAGCCUGUUCCUCUCUGGAAUCUCGGGGAUAGAGAGUCCCAGAGCUGUAACUUUGGAGUAUCCACUCUCCCCUCCUGGGAGGACAGCAUCGCUGGCUGCCUAUCCUCUCCUCGUCCCACCCUCAGGAGCUUUGUGCCCUGUUUCUCUUCAAUACUUUCAUGCCCCCCCCCCCAAAAAAAUUUUUUUUUACUUUUUCCGUGUUUUUUUUUUUUUUUAAAGUAAUUACAGAGCAGGUAGUGAUUGACGCAAACCUCCCUUCAGUAUCAAAAGAGUCUGUGGGGUGGGGUGGGCCUGCCAGGGCCGCGAGUGGAGCUCGCUGUUGGGGGCAUUGUCGGAGUUGCCCCCUGGGCUCUGGUGAAGUUGCCUGUCUCUUGUGUUUUGAGGGUGAAGGAGUAGGAGGGAAGGACAGGCGUCAAACUGC
rnacentral:lncRNA from 1 species